CUACGGGCUGCAGCAGUAAGGAAUAUUGCGCAAUGGAGGCAACUCUGACGCAGCCAUGCCGCGUGCAGGAAGAAGGCCUUAUGGGUCGUAAACUGCUUUUAUUUAGGAAUAAACCCCCGAACGUGUUCGGGGCUGAAGGUACUAAACGAAUAAGCACCGGCUAACUCCGUGCCAGCAGCCGCGGUAAUACGGAGGGUGCAAGCGUUAUCCGGAUUUAUUGGGUUUAAAGGGUGCGCAGGCGGGCUAUUAAGUCAGUGGUGAAAUCCCGGGGCUCAACUCCGGAACUGCCAUUGAUAUUGAUAGUCUUGAGUUUGGUUGAAGUGGGCGGAAUGUAGCAUGUAGCGGUGAAAUGCAUAGAUAUGCUACAGAACACCAAUCGCGAAGGCAGCUCACUAAGCCAAAACUGACGCUCAUGCACGAAAGCGUGGGGAUCAAACAGGAUUAGAUACCCGAGUAGUC
rnacentral:rRNA from 1 species